GGCGGUUCACGGGUGACACACCCCAGAAUCGGGCUUCCUCCUCUCUGGUUCCGGGUGCAUCACCCAAGAACCACA
rfam:Myotis brandtii contig307335, whole genome shotgun sequence.